GUUGUCUUGAGUUUUUAAGCCAUUUUUUUCCUUUGGUUAUUAUAGAUUACUUAUUCGUGAAGAUGGAAGAGAUAAUUAUACCAAUUUUAUGCUUACUUAAUGCUUGCUUUACUUAAUAAAAAUUUAAUUUUCACUUUGCAGCAGGAAGACUAAUGAGCCUCGACUGCUGUCUGUUAGAAAAUGUAAAUGAAAGAGUGACAUUAUUUACUGCAACAAUGGGAUUAAUAAGCAUAAAUUCCACAGCUAUUUGUCCAGAAGUCGUCAAUCUGAAUUAUGAAGUCAUCUUUGUUCUGCAAAAAGGUAGCUUCUGGAUGAAGAAGAAAGAUAGAUGUCUGAGUAGACUUGGAUCUACCUGGCUUGGAGCCAAAGCCAGCUGAAUCCAACCUGGAUGAGUUUCACAUCUGCCAAUUUACAGAAAUCAUUAAAUGUGGCAGCAGAAUGUUUGAGCCUGCUUACCAUUCCACUUGAACAUGGAUCUGUGAAAAAGCUGUAGCAGCAAUGUUAAUCAAUGCAUAAAGGUAGGAAUACCAUUCCAUAAUUCACGAGGAUAGAGACAAGAAAUGGUGGACCCAGUGUUAAUAUGUGGCUGCACUCAUCUGGAUUGCAGUCAGUUUAAUUUCAGCAGAAGCUGAGUAGAUCAUUUAUCAGGAUUGAAUAUAUUACUGUAAUUCAUUGCAGUGAUUGUAGGGAAACAGCAGUAGUAUAGAUGUGGGGCUGUAACUCAUAAUGACACAACCUGCCUGGUGGCUUUCUAUAGUGCUAUUUUCAGCUAGAACAGACUUUAUCUCAGAAAUUUUAGUAUACUAUUG
rnacentral:lncRNA from 1 species